rnacentral:rRNA from 2 species
UAAUACGUAGGUGGCAAGCGUUGUCCGGAUUUAUUGGGCGUAAAGCGAGCGCAGGCGGUUUUUUAAGUCUGAUGUGAAAGCCUUCGGCUCAACCGAAGAAGUGCAUCGGAAACUGGGAAACUUGAGUGCAGAAGAGGACAGUGGAACUCCAUGUGUAGCGGUGAAAUGCGUAGAUAUAUGGAAGAACACCAGUGGCGAAGGCGGCUGUCUGGUCUGUAACUGACGCUGAGGCUCGAAAGUAUGGGUAGCAAACAGGAUUAGAUACCCUGGUAGUCCAUACCGUAAACGAUGAAUGCUAAGUGUUGGAGGGUUUCCGCCCUUCAGUGCUGCAGCUAACGCAUUAAGCAUUCCGCCUGGGGAGUACGGCCGCAAGGCUGAAACUCAAAGGAAUUGACGGGGGCCCGCACAAGCGGUGGAGCAUGUGGUUUAAUUCGAAGCUACGCGAAGAACCUUACCAGGUCUUGACAUACUAUGCAAAUCUAAGAGAUUAGACGUUCCCUUCGGGGACAUGGAUACAGGUGGUGCAUGGUUGUCGUCAGCUCGUGUCGUGAGAUGUUGGGUUAAGUCCCGCAACGAGCGCAACCCUUAUUAUCAGUUGCCAGCAUUAAGUUGGGCACUCUGGUGAGACUGCCGGUGACAAACCGGAGGAAGGUGGGGAUGACGUCAAAUCAUCAUGCCCCUUAUGACCUGGGCUACACACGUGCUACAAUGGAUGGUACAACGAGUUGCGAACUCGCGAGAGUAAGCUAAUCUCUUAAAGCCAUUCUCAGUUCGGAUUGUAGGCUGCAACUCGCCUACAUGAAGUCGGAAUCGCUAGUAAUCGCGGAUCAGCAUGCCGCGGUGAAUACGUUCCCGGGCCUUGUACACACCGCCCGUCACACCAUGAGAGUUUGUAACACCCAAAGUCGGUGGGGUAACCUUUUAGGAACCAGCCGCCUAAGGUGGGACAGAUGAUUAGGGUGAAGUCGUA